CAGAGACAUUAUGUUAUUCUGAGCAUACCUGAUCUUUUCUGAUUUUGGAAGCUAAGUAGGAUUAUGGCUAGUUAGUAUUUGAAUGGGAAUGUGCCAAGAAUACCAAAGAUCUCCAG
rnacentral:rRNA from 1 species